ensembl:lncRNA
GCUCCCGGUCAGCCACGCCCCCUUCAAGGCGGGGCCUGGCUAUCCUGCUCAAAUAUUCUCCUGUGCCUUGUGUGCAGGACAUUUCAAAGGCCACGUGUCCAGGGUACAGGUGCGGAUCAGAGGUCCCACACAUAACGGAGAAGAUUCUCACGACCAGGGCACGUGUGGAAGCAGCAAGACCUCCUCAUCUUAUUGGUAGACACCUGACACACAGGAGGCGCUCCAACAGCGAGACUGACCUUGACUUGAAGGGAACAGUCAAGGAGAAGCUUUGGUCCUGGGCAGAUGUGCAGUCUGUGGGACCAUCUCGUCCAGGACACAUUUCCCCCAGAGGGAUGGUGCCAGGGUCUCCCCGCACUGUCAAUUACUCUGCCAGAUUUGGAAGGCCAUGUCCUUGUCCCCAGAGUGCUCCCUCUACCC